rnacentral:rRNA from 1 species
GACGAACGCUGGCGGCGUGCUUAACACAUGCAAGUCGAACGGAAAGGCCCUGCUUUUGUGGGGUGCUCGAGUGGCGAACGGGUGAGUAACACGUGAGUAACCUGCCCUUGACUUUGGGAUAACUUCAGGAAACUGGGGCUAAUACCGGAUAGGAGCUCCUGCUGCAUGGUGGGGGUUGGAAAGUUUCGGCGGUUGGGGAUGGACUCGCGGCUUAUCAGCUUGUUGGUGGGGUAGUGGCUUACCAAGGCUUUGACGGGUAGCCGGCAUGAGAGGGUGACCGGCCACAUUGGGACUGAGAUACGGCCCAGACUCCUACGGGAGGCAGCAGUGGGGAAUAUUGCACAAUGGGCGGAAGCAUGAUGCAGCAACGCCGCGUGCGGGAUGACGGCCUUCGGGUUGUAAACCGCUUUCGACUGUGACGAAGAGUGAGUGACGGUAAUGGGUAAAGAAGCACCGGCUAACUACGUG